AGAGUUUGAUCCUGGCUCAGGACGAACGCUGGCGGCAUGCCUAACACAUGCAAGUCGAACGGAGUUAUUAUUCAGAAGUUCUUCGGGAUGGAAGGAUAAGAACUUAGUGGCGGACGGGUGAGUAACGCGUGGGUAACCUGCCCUUUUGUGGGGAACAACUUCGAGAAAUCGGAGCUAAUACCGCAUAAUAAUAGAGGAUCGCAUGAUUCUUUAAGGAAAGAUGGCCUCUGAAGAUGCUAUCGCAAAAGGAUGGACCCGCGUCUGAUUAGCUAGUUGGAAGGGUAACGGCCUACCAAGGCAACGAUCAGUAGCCGGCCUGAGAGGGUGAACGGCCACAUUGGGACUGAGACACGGCCCAAACUCCUACGGGAGGCAGCAGUGGGGAAUCUUCCGCAAUGGGCGAAAGCCUGACGGAGCAAUGCCGCGUGAGUGAAGAAGGCCUUCGGGUUGUAAAACUCUGUCCUUAUCGAAGAGAGGUAGGUAUGUGAAUAAUGUACCUAUAGGACGGUAGAUAAGGAGGAAGCCCCGGCUAACUACGUGCCAGCAGCCGCGGUAAUACGUAGGGGGCGAGCGUUGUCCGGAAUCACUGGGCGUAAAGGGCGCGUAGGCGGUUUAAUAAGUCAGUGGUGAAAACUGAGGGCUCAACCCUCAGCCUGCCACUGAUACUGUUAGACUUGAGUAUGGAAGAGGAGAAUGGAAUUCCUAGUGUAGCGGUGAAAUGCGUAGAUAUUAGGAGGAACACCAGUGGCGAAGGCGAUUCUCUGGGCCAAGACUGACGCUGAGGCGCGAAAGCGUGGGGAGCAAACAGGAUUAGAUACCCUGGUAGUCCACGCCGUAAACGAUGGAUACUAGGUGUUAGUAGUUUCGAUGCUACUAGUGCCGGAGUAAACACAAUAAGUAUCCCGCCUGGGGGAGUACGGUCGCAAGACUGAAAAUCAAAGGAAUUGAACGGGGGCCCGCACAAGCAGUGGAGCAAAGUGGUUUAAUUCGACGCAACGCGAAGAACCUUACCAAGACUUGACAUCCUCCUGACAAGAUAUGUAAUGUAUCUGUUUUCUUAGGAGACAGGAGAGACAGGUGGUGCAUGGUUGUCGUCAGCUCGUGUCGUGAGAUGUUGGGUUAAGUCCCGCAACGAGCGCAACCCUUAUUUCUAGUUGCCAGCAGUAAGAUGGGGACUCUAGAGAGACUGCCAGUGACAAACUGGAGGAAGGUGGGGAUGACGUCAAAUCAUCAUGCCCCUUAUGUCUUGGGCUACACACGUGCUACAAUGGUCAGAACAGAGGGAAGCGAAGCCGCGAGGUGGAGCAAAUCCCAGAAAACUGAUCUCAGUUCGGAUUGCAGGCUGCAACCCGCCUGCAUGAAGUCGGAAUCGCUAGUAAUCGCGGGUCAGCAUACCGCGGUGAAUACGUUCCCGGGCCUUGUACACACCGCCCGUCA
rnacentral:rRNA from 1 species